GAUGAAGAACGCAGCGAAAUGCGAUAAUUAAUGUGAAUUGCAGAAUUCCGUGAAUCAUCGAGUCUUUGAACGCACAUUGCGCCUCAAGGCAUUCCGUGAGGCAUGCCCAUCUCAGCGUUAGAAAAUAUUCUCAAAUUUUAGUUUUGUGCUAAAAUUUGGAUCAUGUCAAGGAAGCUAUUACUAUUAUUGUGAUCGCUCUUUGGAAAUUGAUAGGUCUUUGAGUUGCUACUCAUAGAACGUGAUGAAUCUUUCUUCGUUCUAUUGUAAUUCACUCUGGUAGUCCUAAAACUUGUAUGCCUGUGGCAUAUCUUGUAAUUUGACCUGAGAUUGGGUAGGGAUACCCGCUGAACUUAAGCAUAUCAAUAAGCGGAGGA
rnacentral:misc_RNA from 1 species